rnacentral:rRNA from 1 species
CGUCGUUGACUCCAAUUGACCGCAGGCUUCACCCCUUGUGGUGUCCCCCGCCAAUUCCUUUAAGUUUCANUACUUGCGUACGUACUUCCCAGGCGGCAGACUUAACGGCUUCCCUGCGGCACUGCAUUGGCCACAAGCCAAUGCAUCACCGAGUCUGCAUCGUUUACAGCUGGGACUACCCGGGUAUCUAAUCCGGUUUGCUCCCCCAGCUUUCAUCCCUCACCGUCGAACGUGUUCUGGUACACCGCCUUCGCCACAGGUGGUCUUCAAUAGAUCAAAGGAUUUUACCCCUUCCUAUCGAGUACCGUGUACCUCUCCCACUCCCUAGCUGCACAGUAUUUUCGGCGGCCUAUACGUUAAGCGCAUAGAUUUAACCGAAAACUUAUGCAACCGGCUACGGAUGCUUUAGGCCCAAUAAACCUCCUGACCACUCGAGGUGCUGGUUUUACCGCGGCGGCUGACACCAGAACUUGCCCACCCCUUAUUCACCAGUGAUUCUACAACUGACAAAAGACUCCUUUAGCAGGAGACACUCGGAUUAACCUUGUCGUGCUUUCGCACAUUGCAAAGGUUCUCGCCUGCUGCGCCCAUAGGGCCUGNGUCCGGUCCCAGUACCCUUUCCGGGGCCCUCUC